AUUGAACGCUGGCGGCAUGCCUUACACAUGCAAGUCGAACGGUAACAGGGAGCUUGCUCCGCUGACGAGUGGCGAACGGGUGAGUAAUGUAUCGGAACGUACCUUUUAGUGGGGGAUAACGUAGCGAAAGUUACGCUAAUACCGCAUAUUCUCUGAGGAGGAAAGCAGGGGACCUUCGGGCCUUGCUCUAAUAGAGCGGCUGAUAUCAGAUUAGCUAGUUGGUGGGGUAAAGGCUCACCAAGGCGACGAUCUGUAGCGGGUCUGAGAGGAUGAUCCGCCACACUGGAACUGAGACACGGUCCAGACUCCUACGGGAGGCAGCAGUGGGGAAUUUUGGACAAUGGGGGCAACCCUGAUCCAGCCAUGCCGCGUGAGUGAAGAAGGCCUUCGGGUUGUAAAGCUCUUUCGGCCGGGAAAAAAUCGCAUGGGUUAAUACCCUGUGUGGAUGAUGGUACCGGAAUAAGAAGCACCGGCUAACUACGUGCCAGCAGCCGCGGUAACAC
rnacentral:rRNA from 1 species